GAAAACACAUCUGCUAUCCAAGGAUUCACUAUGAUUCUUGAGGGGUUGGCUGACUGUAUAGCUUGUUCGGGGAACAGUAUACAAGCCUUGGAGCUACGCAAAAAUGCCAUCACUGUACUUGCUUUUGUGGCC